AGCGAACGCUGGCGGCAAGCUAAACACAUGCAAGUCGAACGAUGUAGCAAUACAUAGUGGCGGACGGGUGCAUAACACGUGGGAAUCUGCCUUUAGGUACGGAAUAACUCAGGGAAACUUGGGCUAAUACCGUAUAAAAUCUCCGGAUCAAAGAUUUAUCGCCUAAAGAUGAGCCCGCGUCAGAUUAGCUAGUUGGUGGGGUAACGGCCUACCAAGGCGACGAUCUGUAGCUGGUCUUAGAGGAUGAUCAGCCACACUGGGACUGAGACACGGCCCAGACUCCUACGGGAGGCAGCAGUGGGGAAUAUUGGACAAUGGGGGAAACCCUGAUCCAGCUAUGCCGCGUGAGUGAUGAAGGCCUUAGGGUUGUAAAGCUCUUUUAGAUGGGAAGAUAAUGACGGUACCAUCAGAAAAAGCCCCGGCUAACUUCGUGCCAGCAGCCGCAGUAA
rnacentral:rRNA from 1 species